rnacentral:rRNA from 1 species
UACGGAGGAUGCGAGCGUUAUCCGGAUUUAUUGGGUUUAAAGGGUGCGCAGGCGGCACGGCAAGCCGGCGGUCAAAUCGCGGGGCUCAACCCCGCCCAGCCGUCGGAACUGCCGGGCUAGAGUGGGCGAGAAGUGCGCGGAAUGCGUGGUGUAGCGGUGAAAUGCAUAGAUAUCACGCAGAACUCCGAUUGCGAAGGCAGCGCACCGGCGCCCUACUGACGCUCAGGCACGAAAGCGUUGGUAUCGAACAGG